rnacentral:rRNA from 1 species
ACGUCAUACAGUGGUCGGUACAGAGGGUUGCCAAGCCGCGAGGUGGAGCCAAUCCCAGAAAACCGAUCGUAGUCCGGAUUGCAGUCUGCAACUCGACUGCAUGAAGUCGGAAUCGCUAGUAAUCGCGGAUCAGCAUGUCGCGGUGAAUACGUUCCCGGGCCUU